CUCAGUUCGGAUUGAAGGCUGAAAUUCGCCUUCAUGAAGCCGGAAUUGCUAGUAAUGGCAGGUCAGCAUACUGCCGUGAAUACGUUCCCGGGCCCUUGUACACACCGCCCGUCACACCAUGAGAGUUGGGAAUACCCGAAGCCUGUGAGCUAACGUAAGAGGCAGCAGUCGAAGGUAGAAUCAAUGAUUGGGGUGAAGUCGUAACAAGGUAGC
rnacentral:rRNA from 1 species